AGGGGGGGAGGGAAGGGUGUCGCGCGGCGGGAGGGCGGACCCAACCCCCUGAUGUGGCGGCGGUUGCUCCGUACAGUCGCUGUGAAGUGCGGUGACGUCGUCGUGUUAACAGCUCAGUAACAACAGCAUCAACCCGCUCAAAAACACCACCGUGUUGUUGUUGUUCACCCCCUCCUUUCCCUUCACAAACACAAUCACCACCACCUUUCGAGGAGGAGGAGGAGGAGGAGGAAAGAGGGAGGGGACGACGACGACACUCGCUCAGCCUCCCGAACUCCUCGCCCUCCCCCUUCUCUAGGCAGGCCCCCACACUGCGCCUGCCCAAGUCGCCCUCCCACCGGCAGCCCUUUUCUCCUCAGCAGAGACAUCUCAUUCGACGCGGCGCCGCCGCCGCCGACCUCACGGGCUGUGCUGUUGCCGCUGUUGGCAGCGGCGGCUGUGGUGGUGGUGGCGGCGGCGGUGGUUGGGGCGAAAAUGUGGAGCCCGGAAUCCAGGGAUUGGAUGGGGAUUUCGCUCCCUCAAAACUGCGUGGAAGCAGCGAGGAAGAGCGCAUGUUGUUCCGUUGGGGUUGCCUCUUGAACGUGUUGCCUAACCUCGUGAAUUCUGCGCCUUUCCAGAAUUUGCAUGUGUGAAUAACUGGACGCGUGGUGCAGUGCAGUGAAGUAUUUGGCAGGCGCUAGACACGAAUAAAGGUACAAGCAGGCAGGAUGGUCUUAUCUCGUACAUUUAAAACAACAGACUUGGAAAAGUUACUCUUCUGUUUAUGCCAGGCAUCAUUUACCAUCUGUGCACAAAAUUUACAAGACAGUUUAUUAUAAAUUUACUGUGUUGUAUUA